AAAAAGGAUGUAGUUUAUGUAGUAGUUAUAUUAAUCAUUCUAUUUUCUUAGUAUAAAAAGCACUUUGCAUAUUUCAAAACUGCAGAUUAAAAUGUGGUCUGAAAUACGCAUAUCGUCAUUUGAAAGGAAAUACAAUCUCAAGUUUUAAGUUACCUUUUUAUUCCAAUUGCCUUCAAUAAAUGUGGCCUCAUUAUUUGUUUUACUUGUAAAGGUAAAUAUGGAUGUUUUAAAAUGAAUUUUUUUGUUCUGUUAUCUUUGGAUAAAGAGGCUUACACUGAUUUCAACCAAACAAUUCCUCAUUGUGAAAUAAUAAUUCUGUCAUCAACAUGCAGACAGCUUAGUGGUUACACAGCAGCUAGCUAUCCUAUCCCACCUGCAGGUAUCCUUGUCAAUGCAACUUUGAUUUGUCAGGCAGCUGGUUGAGAUCCCUUGAAGUCAAGAUGAGCCAGGUCUGGGAGGAUUCCUGAUGAUAUCACUUUGUUACCCAAAUUUCCUUCCCCGUGGCCAGUGACUGGGUAACAAGUGAGCAUGGGACAGUGCGGACGAUUUGAACUCACGACGAGAUCCACUAGAAGCAUGAAGGAACAAAUGGUGGUGUGCCAGGAGACAGUCUGAAGGUCAGAGGUUCACGGCUGUAUCCCCCAACUUUGCACACUCAUCAGACCAAUCAGGAUGGACACCACCCACAGAGAUGCAGAUGCUAAUAUCCUGGGCAGAUGUGAGGGUUUAGAGGAAGGGCCAGAGAGCCCCUAGAAAGUUAAUCCUACUUUGAAGACCUCUAAUUUCCCAGUCCUCAGCCAUAGCUGAUUGGAUCAGGAAUAGGUGUCUGAAUGAAUAAACCACUGACUCUCAGAAAUUUGAACUGAAAGAGACAGAGCAACUUGAGUUGAAGAGUCAUAUGGAGGCUCCAUGGAAGUAGUGGUUUUCAGCAAAGCAUAAGAUAAUCAAACAUCAGAUACCCUUGGAGGAGAGAAUGACAAAUGGAUAGAUGUACAGAGUGAAAUGAAGUCAUAAGAAAGAGAGAUGCAGAGAUGGCAUUAUGUGAAGACAUUAACCUUGGUUACCAAAUUAAAUAUCCAGGCCCUGGACAGCCAA